rnacentral:rRNA from 1 species
UAGCCGUAAACGAUACUCGCUAGGUGUCGGCCACGGUGCGACCGUUGUCGGUGCCGUAGGGAAGCCGUGAAGCGAGCCACCUGGGAAGUACGGCCGCAAGGCUGAAACUUAAAGGAAUUGGCGGGGGAGCACCACAACGGGUGGAGCUUGCGGUUUAAUUGGAUUCAACGCCGGAAAUCCUACCGGGACCGACAGCAACAUGAAGGCCAAGCUGAAGACUUUGCCGGAUUAGCUGAGAGGUGGUGCAUGGCGUAGUCGUGU